ACGAACGCUGGCGGCAUGCCUAACACAUGCAGGUCGAACGAGACCUUCGGGUCUAGUGGCGCACGGGUGCGUAACGCGUGGGAACCUGCCCUUAGGUUCGGAAUAACUCCCCGAAAGGGGUGCUAAUACCGGAUAAUGUCUUCGGACCAAAGAUUUAUCGCCUUUGGAUGGGCCCGCGUUGGAUUAGCUAGUUGGUAGGGUAAAAGCCUACCAAGGCGACGAUCCAUAGCUGGUCUGAGAGGAUGAUCAGCCACACUGGGACUGAGACACGGCCCAGACUCCUACGGGAGGCAGCAGUGGGGAAUAUUGGACAAUGGGCGAAAGCCUGAUCCAGCAAUGCCGCGUGAGUGAUGAAGGCCUUAGGGUUGUAAAGCUCCUUUACCCGGGAUGAUAAUGACAGUACCGGGAGAAUAAGCUCCGGCUAACUCCGUG
rnacentral:rRNA from 1 species